UUCGGUGAGGAAAUCAGAUUGAGGGACAGGCCAACACUACGCCAGUUGCCCAUAUUCUGUCCAGAGUGUGAUACGAUUCUAUUUCCCUUCAGUCCCGAUGAGGAUCGACAGGAUACUCGUCCUGCUUCAUCUCAGGAGGCCUCAGCUGCAGGAAAUAGACCAGGCAUCGGUCAUUGGAGCUUUUCCAGUACUGUUUUAUUUCCCCACACCCCCAAUGAGGAACAAGAGGACACUCAUCCUGCUUCAACUGUUGCCACUGUCAGCGAAGUAGAUGAAGAAAAUGUAAAAAAUAAAUAAAUAAUUGUUUCA